UUUGAACGCUGGCGGCAGGCUUAACACAUGCAAGUCGAGCGGGGUGAUGGUGCUUGCACUAUCACUUAGCGGCGGACGGGUGAGUAAUGCUUAGGAAUCUGCCUAUUAGUGGGGGACAACAUCUCGAAAGGGAUGCUAAUACCGCAUACGUCCUACGGGAGAAAGCAGGGGAUCACUUGUGACCUUGCGCUAAUAGAUGAGCCUAAGUCGGAGUAGCUAGUUGGUGGGGUAAAGGCCUACCAAGGCGACGAUCUGUAGCGGGUCUGAGAGGAUGAUCCGCCACACUGGGACUGAGACACGGCCCAGACUCCUACGGGAGGCAGCAGUGGGGAAUAUUGGACAAUGGGGGGAACCCUGAUCCAGCCAUGCCGCGUGUGUGAAGAAGGCCUUAUGGUUGUAAAGCACUUUAAGCGAGGAGGAGGCUACUUUAGUUAAUACCUAGAGAUAGUGGACGUUACUCGCAGAAUAAGCACCGGCUAACUCUGUGCCAGCCGCCGCCGUAA
rnacentral:rRNA from 1 species